CCUACGGGUGGCUGCAGUGGGGAAUAUUGCACAAUGGGCGCAAGCCUGAUGCAGCCAUGCCGCGUGUGUGUAGAAGGCCUUCGGGUUGUAAAGCACUUUCAGCGGGGAGGAAGGCGGUGAGGUUAAUAACCUCAUCGAUUGACGUUACCCGCAGAAGAAGCACCGGCUAACUCCGUGCCAGCAGCCGCGGUAAUACGGAGGGUGCAAGCGUUAAUCGGAAUUACUGGGCGUAAAGCGCACGCAGGCGGUCUGUCAAGUCGGAUGUGAAAUCCCCGGGCUCAACCUGGGAACUGCAUUCGAAACUGGCAGGCUAGAGUCUUGUAGAGGGGGGUAGAAUUCCAGGUGUAGCGGUGAAAUGCGUAGAGAUCUGGAGGAAUACCGGUGGCGAAGGCGGCCCCCUGGACAAAGACUGACGCUCAGGUGCGAAAGCGUGGGGAGCAAACAGGAUUAGAUACCCGGGUAGUC
rnacentral:rRNA from 1 species